UUGCCAGACUCCUACGGGAGGCAGCAGUGAGGAAUAUUGGUCAAUGGGCUUACGCCUGAACCAGCCAAGUCGCGUGAGGGAAGACUGCCCUAUGGGUUGUAAACCUCUUUUGUCAGGGAGCAACGCCGGCUACGUGUAGCCGGACUGAGAGUACCCGAAGAAAAAGCAUCGGCUAACUCCGUGCCAGCAGCCGCGGUAAUACGGAGGAUGCGAGCGUUAUCCGGAUUUAUUGGGUUUAAAGGGUGCGUAGGCGGAAGGUUAAGUCAGCGGUCAAAUGUCGGUGCUCAACACCGGCCUGCCGUUGAAACUGGUCUUCUUGAGUGAGCGAGAAGUAUGCGGAAUGCGUGGUGUAGCGGUGAAAUGCAUAGAUAUCACGCAGAACUCCGAUUGCGAAGGCAGCAUACCGGCGCUCAACUGACGCUGAGGCACGAAAGCGUGGGUAUCGAACAGGAUUAGAUACCCCGGUAGAG
rnacentral:rRNA from 1 species